GACGUAGGGCGCGAGCGUUGUCCGGAUUUAUUGGGCGUAAAGAGCUCGUAGGCGGCUUGUCGCGUCGAAUGUGAAAACUCGGGGCUCAACUCCGAGCUUGCAUUCGAUACGGGCAGGCUAGAGUUCGGUAGGGGAGACUGGAAUUCCUGGUGUAGCGGUGAAAUGCGCAGAUAUCAGGAGGAACACCGGAGUGCGAAGGCGGGUCUCUGGGCCGAUACUGACGCUGAGGAGCGAAAGCGUGGGGAGCGAACAGG
rnacentral:rRNA from 1 species